rnacentral:ncRNA from 1 species
UCUGCAGUGAUGACGGAGAAGAGUAAUAUUUUUCUUUCUACAGGGAAUAGAUGCCAUGGAUUGAGAGCAUCUUAAGAAUAAGGGGAUAUGAAAGUUCGCUCCUGAACUUCGGGCUUGAAAUUAAGUAGAGCCUGACGGGUUUUCCGUUAAAGAUUUAAGUGGGUUUUACCAAAUUGGGUGGUACCGCGGAUUAACCUCCGUCCCUUUA